rnacentral:lncRNA from 1 species
GUGAAACCAACAGAAACAGCUAACCUGAACAAGGGAGAGCUCUUGGUCUCAGACUGAUAGCUGGGAAACCAGCAUGGGACUGAUCCAGACCCCAUGAAAAUGCUACCCUCCUGCUCAGAUGACCUCAAGUACCCUGACUGAGAGUCACCCUGCUUGGAAUCCCUCUCCAUAGAAGGAAGAUGACUGUUGCUCUUUGAGGAAUGUGGGGGGCUGGAACCCAUUCAGAAGGAGCAGUUGCCCAAAGUGACUUGUAGAAGGUCAAAAAGUAUCUCCACAUGUGAGACUGCAUUGCACAGAUUCUCCAAGUUUAGUUCUUGUCUUUGCUGGAGGCAGCUGGGGAAGUUUAUGAGUCUAGUUGAAAAUUCCUGCCUUAUCACUCAGAGUAGCCACACAAGCACCUUGCUAGAGGUGAGCAGCAAGCCUGGUGUAGUGAUGACACCUCUGGAUACAGGCUUAGGGAAGAGUACCAGCUCAAUGACGCCUGUGAAUUGUUUCAGCUUCUCUGGGUCUCACUUUCUUUGUCUAUAAAGUAGGAUAGGUAUGUAGAUUAGAGAUGAUAGUCCUGUGAAGCCCCAUUCCCCUUACACACUUGCAGCAUGUUCCAGGGAGCCUGGAGACACCAGUGGUUACUUUCAGAAAUGCCUUUGAGUUUGC